UAUUUUUUGUGUCACCAUCAUGUUGCAUCAUCCAUCCAUUGGUCACAUUCAUCAGUCGUCACAUCACAUCUUUUUCAUUGACUUUCUCUCUCCUAACUAAAGUUUGCCACUUGUCGUAAAUUUGACAAUUUUCUAUAAAUAAGGACCCUCUUGUCAACAUUUCCUCAUCACUUCCAUUCCAUUCUUCCAUCCUCCGAGAGCUUAG
rnacentral:lncRNA from 1 species